UCGCUUGCGAUACUGUUUCCGGGAAAGAAUUUUUCUUUCUCCUUUUACUAAAGAUCACCGUGGAGGGGGACAGUACAAUGAGCUUCUAGACAAUUUUUGAUAGGCCUAACCCGUUUGGGUAA